rnacentral:rRNA from 1 species
UACGGGAGGGGCAAGCGUUAUCCAUAAUUACUGGGCGUACAGAGUCCGUAGAUUGUAAUAUAAGUUAUAUGUUAAAAUUUAAAGCUCAACUUUAAAAAAAGAUAAAAUACUGUCUUACUUGAGUUUAAUACAGAAAAGCAGAAUUUCGUGUUAAGGAGUAAAUUCCAAAAAUACAUGAAGGAAUAUCAUUAGCGAAAGCGGCUUUUUAGUACAAACUGACAUUGAGGGACGAAAGUGUAGGGAGCGAACAGGAUUAGAUACCCCCGUA